CCUACGGGGGGCUGCAGUGGGGAAUAUUGCGCAAUGGGGGGAACCCUGACGCAGCAACGCCGCGUGAGUGAAGAAGGUUUUCGGAUCGUAAAGCUCUGUCAUUGGGGACGAAAAGAUGACGGUACCCAAGGAGGAAGCCCCGGCUAACUACGUGCCAGCAGCCGCGGUAAUACGUAGGGGGCGAGCGUUGUCCGGAAUUACUGGGCGUAAAGGGUGCGUAGGCGGCUUCAGAAGUCAGGUGUGAAAUACCGUGGCUCAACUACGGGGGUGCAUUUGAAACUUUGAAGCUUGAGUGCAGGAGAGGAAAGUGGAAUUCCUAGUGUAGCGGUGAAAUGCGUAGAGAUUAGGAGGAACACCAGUGGCGAAGGCGACUUUCUGGACUGUAACUGACGCUGAUGCACGAAAGCGUGGGUAGCGAACAGGAUUAGAUACCCCGGUAGUC
rnacentral:rRNA from 2 species